rnacentral:rRNA from 1 species
AUUGAACGCUGGCGGCAGGCCUAACACAUGCAAGUCGAGCGAGCGGCGGACGGGUGAGUAAUGUAUGGGAAUCUGCCCGAUGGAGGGGGAUAACUACUGGAAACGGUAGCUAAUACCGCAUACUAUCGGAUGAACCCAGAUGGGAUUAGCUAGUAGUGGGGGUAAAGGCUCACCUAGGCGACGAUCUCUAGCUGGUCUGAGAGGAUGAUCAGCCACACUGGGACUGAGACACGGCCCAGACUCCUACGGGAGGCAGCAGUGGGGAAUAUUGCACAAUGGGCGCAAGCCUGAUGCAGCCAUGCCGCGUGUAUGAAGAAGUCCUUAGGGUUGUAAAGUACUUUCAGCGGGGAGGCGUUACCCGCAGAAGAAGCACCGGCUAACUCCGUGCCAGCAGCCGCGGUAAUAC